CCCCCGCGACACCGCGCCCCGGACACACACGCCUCAAGAUUACUCAAGAUUUAUUCAUUUGUUCAUGUCUGAUGAAUAUACAUUGAUUCACAUUUAAAUUUACAAUAUCAAAUCCAGACUAAUCAAAAAAGAAAAGUAGACUAAGUGAGGACGAGUUAGAAAAACGGGUUCAUUUCUCCUAUGUUUAUGUUUACACGUUUUGUUCAGGCUGCUUUACACCCCAAUCCAGUGGGUGGCGGUAAUGCCCCCAUUAGACCCCUUUCACUGACGUCACCCGAAACCGGAAGUAAACAAACCCUGCGCCACAUUGGAAGACCAACAAACUCGUGAUUUGGGGGAAAUAACGGCAGCGCGCGGUAUGUGAACCCACGAGGCACUUGGUUCAUCAUAAACCUACAAUGGUAAACUUUUGUGCUGUGUUAGGGUUCUAACAAAGCUGAUGGGAAAGGGGAAAAGAAGUCUUUCUACAGAAUACCAGCUGUGAUUGAGACAACAAGCAAACCAAGGAGCUUUCUGCCGGGAGACAGAGAGAGGAUUUAGCUGCUUUAUGCAGAGCGGAUCUGAAUACUUCAAGUCUAUUUUGUUACUGGUGUCUGCGCCGCUGGAGGAAUAGGCCACAAUUAUAAAUAAAUCAUAAAAUGUUUCUAAGAA